rnacentral:rRNA from 1 species
UACAGAGGUCCCAAGCGUUGUUCGGAUUCACUGGGCGUAAAGGGUGCGUAGGCGGUCGGGUAAGUCUGAUGUGAAAUCUCACAGCUUAACUGUGAAACUGCAUUGGAUACUAUUCGGCUAGAGAGUUGGAGGGGAGACUGGAAUACUUGGUGUAGCAGUGAAAUGCGUAGAUAUCAAGUGGAACACCAGUGGCGAAGGCGAGUCUCUGGACAUUUCCUGACGCUGAGGCACGAAAGCCAGGGGAGCAAACGGG